AUUAGAAUCACCUGGGAAUCUUUUUAAAAUCCUGAUUUCGGGAUGAGGCCCAGAAAUCAGGAUUUUAAAAAGAUUCCCAGGUGAUUCUAAU
rnacentral:pre_miRNA from 2 species